rnacentral:rRNA from 1 species
GACGAACCGAGCGAACGUUAUUCGGAAUCACUGGGCUUAAAGGGCGCGUAGGCGGACUGCCAAGUCAGGGGUGAAAGCCCACGGCUCAACCGUGGAAGUGCCUUUGAUACUGGCGGUCUCGAGGGAGGUAGGGGCGUGCGGAACUUCCGGUGGAGCGGUGAAAUGCGUAGAUAUCGGAAGGAACACCGGUGGCGAAAGCGGCGCGCUGGACCUCUUCUGACGCUGAGGCGCGAAAGCCAGGGGAGCGAACGGG